UUUCUUCCAAGCCCUUGUCAUUCUCUCGCCUUGUGUAUUCUAUCGACUGGACGGAGAACUGAUAAGGGCUUGUAGGAAG
rnacentral:pre_miRNA from 1 species